UACGUAGGGGGCGAGCGUUGUCCGGAUUUAUUGGGCGUAAAGAGCGUGUAGGCGGCCAGGUAGGUCUGCUGUGAAAACUCGAGGCUCAACCUCGAGACGUCGGCGGAAACCAUCUGGCUAGAGUCCGGAAGAGGAGAGUGGAAUUCCUGGUGUAGCGGUGAAAUGCGCAGAUAUCAGGAGGAACACCAAUGGCGAAGGCAGCUCGCUGGGACGGUACUGACGCUGAGACGCGAAAGCGUGGGGAGCAAACGGG
rnacentral:rRNA from 1 species